AGUGAGAUGCCUGAUUAAAGGGUUAUUUUGAUGUAAUAAAAAAAGUAAAAUUUUACUCUCACUA
rnacentral:tRNA from 1 species